UCACGGAUUCUUCCCGCCAAAA
rnacentral:miRNA from 1 species